rnacentral:rRNA from 1 species
GACGAACGCUGGCGGCGUGCUUAACACAUGCAAGUCGAACGGCAAGGCCGUGCUUUUGUGGUGUGCUCGGUUGGCGAACGGGUGAGUAACACGUGUGUAUCCUGCCCUUGUCUUUCGGAUAACUUCAGGAAACUGGGGCUAAUACCGUAUAGGAUCUCCUGCACCAUGGUGGGCGUUGGAAAGUCUCGGCUGUUGGGGUUGGACUCGCGGCUUAUCAGCUUGUUGGUGGGGUAGUGGCCUACCAAGCCAUUGACGGGUAGCCGGCCUGGGAGGGUGACUGGCGCCAUUGGGACUGGGGUACGGCCCAGACUGCAACGGGAGGCAACAGUGGGGAAUCUUGCACAAUGGGCGGGAGCCUGAUGCAGCAGCGCCGCGUGCGGGAUGACGGCCUUCGGGUUGUAAACCGCUUUCGCCUAUGACGCAGCGUGAGUGACGGUAAUGGAUAAAGAAGCACCGGCUAACUACGUG